GUGGUGGCAUUUGGCACCAUUGUGCUGGUUUCUAUUGGAGUAUGAAAUGCUUCAUCUGCAGGUAGGUUCUAGAACCUGCUGAGACAGAAUACUAACUCAGGUAGUCAGUGUAGGAGCAUGGGCUGUGAUGCAUCCUUUGAUAGGGCUAUUGAUUAACAUUUGAGGUUUAAGGGCUCCAGGAAGUAACAUCCCCACAGGCCUUGUUUACUGUAAGGAGUGUACCUAUGCCCGGAUGGACAUUAAUCUCUAACCCCUGUGAUUCAGUCUAUGGGAAAAGAAGGGCAAAGAAACCCUGAGACUUACGGGACAUUUCCACCCCUGUAUCAGUCCUAUUGGACAAGAAGUGAUACAGGUAACUGGGCAAGCCAAUAGGAGAAAACCACAUCUUUCCGGACCCCAUGUUGGUAACCCCCAUCUUCAAGGGAUAAAAACCCCUAUAGGACAAUAGUGUGGGGGACUCUUCUUCCCCUUCCCAGCUGUCCUGGAUGUUGUUUGCUUUGCUGUAAUAAAGAGUUUGCUUCCUUGCUGCCUGUGUGUUCGUGAAGUUCAUUCUUUGGCUCUGCGAACAAGAACCCGGAUUCCGGUGACAUCUUUCCAGCAUCACCGGGACAAUUAGCUUUUACGACCCUGGUUUUUCCAAACAUCAUUUCUGUUCUGGAGUCCUGGAGCCUGGGGGCCCUGGCUGUUUAUGGAGCUGGCUCACUCCCUGAGUAGUGACCCCCGACAACUUCACCAGCCAGCACAACCCUAUCUCCUCUCUGCAUCCGCAGUGCCAGGAGAUGUUCUAGGUCCCACCCUGCCCCUCGGUGUGGGACCUGGGGGAUCAGCAGCAUUCUCUCAAGUGGAACAGUGUGUCUCUGGAACAAGGUCCCGCCUUCUGAGUAUGUUGCUUAUGAGUCUUGGUUCUUCACAUGUAAAUGGGAUCUUUUCAUUUUUAUAAAAUUUUCUCCUAAAAUUUAUUAAAAUAAAUGUUUCCGGUAAGGAUACA
rnacentral:lncRNA from 1 species